AAUGGGUUCGCCCCGAGAUAGGGAUGGUGGCUCCGUAGAGCAGUGCGGUUCUUGCGCUGUCCGGUGCGCUCGCGUCGGCCCUUGAAAAUCCGAGUGAGGGAGUGUGAUUUUCGUGCCGGACCGUACCCACAUCCGCAGCAGGUCUCCAAGGUGAACAGCCUCUAGUCGAUGGACCAAUGUAGGUAAGGGAAGUCGGCAAAACGGAUCCGUAACCUUGGGAUAAGGAUUGGCUCUGAGGACUGAGCCGGUCGGGCUGGGGACCUGAAGCAGGAACGGCACUGCACCGGGACUGGGCGGGGCUCGCCGUUGACGCGGCGCGGCCAAGCCCGGACCAGCGUCGGGACCUUCCUGUGGAAAGCCUCAGCUGCGCGGCGUCUGAGGGCUUCGUGCCCAAAGUGCUAUGCUUCGGCCGGCAAAAAACAGUCAACUCAGAACUGGCACGGACCGGGGGAAUCCGACUGUCUAAUUAAAACAAAGCAUUGCGAUGGCCGCUGGUCGGUGUUGACGCAAUGUGAUUUCUGCCCAGUGCUCUGAAUGUCAACGUGAAGAGAUUCAUCAAAGCGCGGGUAAACGGCGGGAGUAUCUCUGACUCUCUUGAAUUCCACGACUUUCAGGGGGGCUUUGGGGAUGACCGCAGCGCAUCCUCAAACAUUAUCAUACUGCAGGCACUCAUGAAAAAAAGAAAAACCGACCGCCGCAGCCUCUUCGCCUUGAGCCUCGACGUGAAGAAGGCGUUUGACACUGU
rnacentral:ncRNA from 1 species